GGAAGGGAGAGAGAACAACAUGUGGGUGGGACCAAGGACUCUGAAGACAACUAUGGUGAUUCUGAAGAUCUGGACCUACAAGCUACCCAGUGCUUUCUGGAGAAUCAGGGCCUGGAAGUCCAGAGCAUGGAGGAUGAACCUACCCAGG
rnacentral:ncRNA from 3 species